GCCUGUCUGUGAUGCUAUUUUUCUUUACCUACAUUGUUUGAGAUUCCUCUGAGAACAAUGCAUCUUUCUGAGACAUUU
ensembl:snoRNA SNORD34 Small nucleolar RNA SNORD34